rnacentral:rRNA from 1 species
GACGAACGCUGGCGGCGUGCUUAACACAUGCAAGUCGAGCGGUAAGGCCCUUUCGGGGGUACACGAGCGGCGAACGGGUGAGUAACACGUGGGUGACCUGCCCUCAGCUCUGGGAUAAGCCUGGGAAACCGGGUCUAAUACCGGAUAUGACUCCAUGACGCAUGUUGUGGGGUGGAAAGCCUUGUGCGGCUGAGGAUGGGCCCGCGGCCUAUCAGCUUGUUGGUGGGGUGANGGCCUACCAAGGCGACGACGGGUAGCCGGCCUGAGAGGGCGACCGGCCACACUGGGACUGAGACACGGCCCAGACUCCUACGGGAGGCAGCAGUGGGGAAUCUUGCGCAAUGGGCG